rnacentral:rRNA from 1 species
CGACGACCUCAGAGCAGGCGAGACUACCCCCUAAAUUUAAGCAUAAGGGC